GGCCGCCUGGCGAAAUGGCAUCGCGUCUGACUACGACAGGUGUUUUACGUUAUCAGGAGAUUGCAGGUUCGACCCCUGCGGUGGUCA